rnacentral:rRNA from 1 species
UACGAAGGGGGCUAGCGUUGCUCGGGAAUUACUGGGCGUAAAGGGCGCGUUAGGCGGAUAGUUUAGUCAGAGGUAAAAGCCCAGGCUCAACCUUGGAACUGCCUUUGAUACUGGCUAUCUUGAGUUCGGGAGAGGUGAGUGGAACUGCGAGUGUAGAGGUGAAAUUCGUAGAUAUUCGCAAGAACACCAGUGGCGAAGGCGGCUCACUGGCCCGAUACUGACGCUGAGGUGCGAAAGCGUGGGGAGCAAACAGG